rnacentral:rRNA from 1 species
GAAUUGAGUUUGAUCCUGGCUCAGGGUGAACGCUAAUAAUAUGCUUUACACAUGCGAGUUACACGGUAUUAUAUCGUAGCGAACGGGUGAGAAAUACGCAAUCGCUCAGUUUUUUGAACUUAAAAGCGUUGGCUCGGCCCAAUGCCUAAAUGUUAAAAAUAAGCCUAUUAUGUUCGAGUGCUUUAUUUUUAGCAGCAAAAUAUUAAUGUUUCUUUGAUAAUUAGUAUCGAAGUCAGUUCAAAAUAACUAGCAGUCUCUAGCUUUUACUUUAAGAUAAACUAUACCUACUAAAAUUUUAAAUUUUUUUAGGGUAAAACUAUUUUUUUAGUUUGUAGUAAUAUUAAAUACAAAGAUUAUAAAAAUGAUGCCUUCAGACAUCAACGCAUGGUCGUAGACAGUAUCUAAAGACAUCUAUAAUCGGUAAAAGAUGAGUUUGUGUAAGAUUAGGUUGUUGGUAUAAGUAACAGUUUACCAAGCCUUUGAUCUUUAGUUGGUCUUAGAGGACGUACAACCACACUGGAACUGAGACAAGGUCCAGGCUACAUUUAGCCAGCAGUGAGGAAUAUUGGACAAUGAACGAAAGUUUGAUCCAGCAAUAUUAUGUGAAUGAUUAUAUUAUUUAUAUUAUGUAAAUAAUUGACGGCUAAUUUUUGGUUGUAAAGUUCUUUCGUUAAAAAUGAUAAUGACGUUAUUUAAAGAAGUUUUAGUCCCGGCCAAUCUCGUGCCAGCAGCCGCGGUAAUACGGGAGGGGCAAGCGUUAUCCGUCAUUACUGGGCGUAUAGAGUCCGUAGAUGGUACUAUAAGUUAUAUGUUAAAAUUUAAAGCUCAACUUUAAAAAAAGAUACAAUACUAUUUUACUAGAGUUUAAUACGGAAGAGUAGAAUUUCAUGUUAAGGGGUAAAUUCCAAAAAUACAUGAAGGAACACCACCAGCGAAAGCAACUCUUUAGUAUAAACUGACAUUGAGGGACGAAAGUGUAGGGAGCAAACAGGAUUAGAUACCCUGGUAGUCUACACUGUAAAUUCUGGAUGCUGUAAUUUAGAAAAAAUUUUAGAUUUUUUAAGCUAACGCGAUAAGCAUUCCGCCUGAGGAGUACGAUCCCAAGAUUAGAACUCAAAGGAAUUGACGGGAGCCUACAACGAGUGGUGGAGCAUGUGGUUUAAUGCGAUAAUCCGCGCAAAACCUUACCAACCCUUGACAUACUGAAAAAAUUCAUUUAAUUUUUACAUUACAGGUGUUGCACGACUGUCGUCAGCUCGUGUCGUAAGAUGUUUGGUUUAUUCCUUUUAACGAGCGCAACUCUCUUUUUUAAUAAUUCACUUUCAAUUAUAAUCUUUAGGAUUUCCUAUAAAAUUAUAAUUCUGCUUUAAAAAAACUGUUAUAAUCUAAUAAUAAAAUUUAAAAGGAAGGUGAGAAUUAAGUCAAGUCACUGUGGCCCUUAUGGGUUGGGCUACACACGUGCUACAAUGAAAAUGACAAAAAGUAACAAAAAUAAAAAUCUUUAGUUAAUCUUUAAAAAUUUUCUUAGUUCGGAUUGUAAACUGCAACUCGUUUACAUGAAGGUGGAAUCACAAGUAAUCGCAAAUCAGAACGUUGCGGUGAAUACGUACCUUGGCUUUGUACACACCGCCCGUCACAUGCAGAAAGCUAGUUUUACUUGAAGAUUUAAAACUUUUUCUAUUUAAAAAAUAAAAAAAGUGAAUUCGUUGAAAAGUUAGCAAUUUGGAUGAAGUCGUAACAAGGUAGCUGUACGGGAACGUGUAGCUGGAACA